AGUCUCAUACUUUGAUAUGCCUUUGCAAAGAGAGUCAUCAUCUUAUGAGCCAAAAAUACUACCUCCACGCACGAAAAGUCCUCCUGGACGUCUCAGGAAGAAACGUAUUGAGUCAUAAGAGGUGGAAAUGAGGCCUCUUCACUAUAGUAGGUGUGGCUAGCAUCAGCAUAAUAGAGCUACAUGCAAGGCGGCUCUUCAAUGAGAGGUCAAUAGAAUUUUUAGUAGCAAAUAAAUGUAUGUUGCUGAUUUCGAUUAUACUCACUAUGUGUAAUGCG
rnacentral:lncRNA from 1 species